rnacentral:rRNA from 1 species
AUUGAACGCUGGCGGCAUGCCUUACACAUGCAAGUCGAACGGUAACAGGUCUUCGGAUGCUGACGAGUGGCGAACGGGUGAGUAAUACAUCGGAACGUGCCCGAGAGUGGGGGAUAACGAGGCGAAAGCUUUGCUAAUACCGCAUACGAUCUCAGGAUGAAAGCAGGGGACCGCAAGGCCUUGCGCUCACGGAGCGGCCGAUGGCAGAUUAGGUAGUUGGUGGGAUAAAAGCUUACCAAGCCGACGAUCUGUAGCUGGUCUGAGAGGACGACCAGCCACACUGGGACUGAGACACGGCCCAGACUCCUACGGGAGGCAGCAGUGGGGAAUUUUGGACAAUGGGCGCAAGCCUGAUCCAGCCAUGCCGCGUGCAGGAUGAAGGCCUUCGGGUUGUAAGCUGCUUCUGUACGGAACGAAAAGACUCCUUCUAAUAAAGGGGGUCCAUGACGGUACCGUAAGAAUAAGCACCGGCUAACUACGUGCCAGCAGCCGCGGUAAGAC